GAUGAACGCUGGCGGCGUGCCUAAUACAUGCAAGUCGAGCGAACAGACGAAGAUCUUGCUACUCUGCAAUUGACGGCGGAAGGGUGAGUAACCCGUGGGUAACCUACCCAUAAGACUGGGAUAACCACGGGAAAACAGAGCCAAUACCGGAAUAUAUCUUAAUCCCCAUGGUCAAAAAGUGAAAGACGGCUUUGCUGUCACCUAGAGAUGGAUCCGCGCUGCAUUAGCUAGUUGGUAAGGUAACGGCUUACCAAGACAAUGAUGCGUAGCCGACCUGAGAGGGUGAUCGGCCACACUGGAACUGAGACACGGUCCAGACUCCUACGGGAGGCAGCAGUAGGGAAUCUUCCGCAAUGGGCGAAAGCCUGACGGAGCAACGCCGCGUGAGUGAUGAAGGUCUUCGGAUCGUAAAACUCUGUUAUUAGGGAAGAACAAAUAUGAAAGUAACUAUUCACGUCUUGACGGUACCUUAUCAGAAAGGCACGGCUAACUACGUG
rnacentral:rRNA from 1 species